AGGUAAAGUUAGUCUGUAUUAUAGACUAACAGAGUCGGGAAGAUUGAAGACAGGAAGGAAGAGCGAAGAGGAACCCUAAAUCGCAAAUCGUCAUCGUCUCCGACUCCAAUUCCUCUCGUCUACGACUCUCCACUCCAGCUCCUCUCCGUCGGUCGCAUCUCGUCUCUGACUCUUCACUCCGGCUCUCUUUCCCGCUGAGCUUCUUUUCUACUCCAAAUCCGUCGCUCUCGACUCCGACUCUCCACACCGGCUCCUCUCUGUCGCUCUCGUCUCCGACUCUCCUUCAAGCUCCCUUUCCCCGCCUACAGCAGAGCAUGUCAAACAAAAUCACUAUCUAGAGGUGAUUCCCAGUUGGCAUCCCAGGAGGCUGAUAUAGCUCACGGCUGUUCACAGCUAACGCAGCUACAGGGUUGGCUUCAUAAGAGAUUGGUGAGCCUAGUCUCUAUUUCUUCUUUUAUCUUACUUUUGUUUAUUUAAAUUUUUAGCUAGGGUUAGGCUUUUGGCAGACAUGUGCUUAGAUGGUUAGACCGAAGGCUGUAUGGGAAAUUGGUUGAUUUGUGUUUGUGCUUCAUACAGAAUAAUGACAUUGGGCAUAGUUAGACAAAGUUGGUUAGGGACUUCACAAUUCCCCUCCCCUGCCUAUCAGAUGAGAUCUUCUGAGUUAUCUUUUUUCUAAUCCUAUAUUUUUUCUUAAGAUUAAAGUGUGAUUUUUUUGCUUUUGGAUAGAUAAACUUUUUAAUUCAUGGACCAUAUUAGUCCAUGAUGGACAUAUUGUAAGGAAAUAUUACAUUUUGUUGUGUAAGAUCGUAUUAUAGACAUUUAGUUUUGUGGAUGGAUUAAUGAGACAUUAUUUUUUA